rnacentral:rRNA from 1 species
AUUGAACGCUGGCGGCAUGCUUUACACAUGCAAGUCGAACGGUAACAGGUUAAGCUGACGAGUGGCGAACGGGUGAGUAAUGCAUCGGAACGUGCCCGAUCGUGGGGGAUAACGCAGCGAAAGCUGCGCUAAUACCGCCUACGAUCUGAGGAUGAAAGCGGGGGACCGUAAGGCCCCGCGCGAUCGGAGCGGCCGAUGUCCGAUUAGGUAGCUGGUGGGGUAAAGGCCCACCAAGCCGACGAUCGGUAGCUGGUCUGAGAGGCCGACAAGCCGCAGUGGGACGGAGGCACGGCCCAGACUCCGACGGGAGGCAGCAGUGGGGAAUUUUGGAGAAGGGGCGAAAGGCUGAUCCAGGAAUGCCGCGUGCAGGAAGAAGGCCUUCGGGUUGUAAACUGCUGUUGUACGGAGCGAAAAGGUCCUUUCUAAUACAAGAGGCUCAUGACGGUACCGUAAGAAGAAGCACCGGCUAACUACGUGCCAGCCGCCGCCGUAACAC